UACGGAGGGUGCAAACGUUGCUCGGAAUUAUUGGGCGUAAAGCGCACGUAGGCGGUCCGCUAAGUCGGAUGUGAAAGCCCUCGGCUUAACCGAGGAAGUGCACUCGAAACUGACGGACUUGAGUAUGGGAGAGGGUUGCGGAAUUCCCGGGGUAGAGGUGAAAUUCGUAGAUAUCGGGAGGAACACCAGUGGCGAAGGCGGCAACCUGGACCAAUACUGACGCUGAGGUGCGAAAGCGUGGGGAGCAAACAGG
rnacentral:misc_RNA from 1 species